rnacentral:rRNA from 1 species
GCUUACGGCCACACCACCCUGAACACGCCCGAUCUCGGAAGCUAAGCAGGGCCGGGCCUGGUUAGUACUUGGAUGGGAGACCGCCUGGGAAUACCAGGUGCUGUAAGUU